rnacentral:rRNA from 1 species
UACGAAGGGGGCUAGCGUUGCUCGGAAUCACUGGGCGUAAAGGGUGCGUAGGCGGGUCUUUAAGUCAGGGGUGAAAUCCUGGAGCUCAACUCCAGAACUGCCUUUGAUACUGAAGAUCUUGAGUUCGGGAGAGGUGAGUGGAACUGCGAGUGUAGAGGUGAAAUUCGUAGAUAUUCGCAAGAACACCAGUGGCGAAGGCGGACUCACUGGCCCGGUACUGACGCUGAGGUGCGAAAGCGUGGGGAGCGAACAGG